UGUGUCUUUAUCAGGUGUAACAUGAUGUCUUAAAGCAGAUAAACACUGUGAAAUGGUUAAAUCUAGCCAACUAGCAAAUGAAUUAUUUCAUGUAUUUACAAUUUUUUAUAAUACAACAUUCACUUUCAGAAAUCUUCAAAAAUUGAAUAUAAUGUAAUUAACUCUAUCACCAUGCUGUGCAACAGAUCUCCCACUUCCUACUCCUAUGUAGCUGGAAAUAUGUAUCCUUUGACCAACAUCUCCCCAAGACCCUUCCUCUGGCAUCAUCUCACCUACUCCACCCUGUAUAGUUUAUUGUUAGUGCUUAGAAAUGCUACAAGGAGGGGCAGACAUUGUUGUGCAGUGGGUUAAGUCCCCACUAAGAAUGUCUGCAUCCCAUAUUGGAGUGCCUGAGAUCAACUUCUGCUUCUGCUUCAGAUCUAGCUUCCUGUUCAUGCAACUGGGAAGCAAUAGAGGAUGGCCAAGAGUUACAGAGAGAGGUCUUCCAUCCACUGGUUCACUCCCCAGAUGGCAGCGAUGGCCGGAGCUGCGCCAAUCCAAAGCUGGGAGCCAGGAGCUUCUUCUGGGUCUCCCAAGUGGGUGCAGGGGCCCAAGGACUUGGGCCAUCCUCUACUACUUUCCCAGGCCACAGCAGAGAGGAGGAGCAACCGGGACUAGAACCAGUGCCCAUAUGGGAUGCCAGCUCUUCAGGCCAGGGCUUUAACCCUCUGUGCCACAGCACCAGCCCAUGUUGUGACUUUUUAUUGAAAAGAGAUGUAAAGUGUUUUCAAAUGCUUAUUUUUCAUCCUUUGUAAUGAUCAUAUGGUGUUUUUUCCCCCCUCAUUCUUUUAAUGGGAUGUAUCACAUUUACUGUCUUGCAUCUGUUGAGUCAUCCUUGCAUUCCUGGUUUCAAUUGUAUUUUUUUUUUUGAAGAUUUUUGCAUCCAUGUUGAUGAGCCCUGUAGUUUUGCAUAUGUAUGUAUGUUGUUUUUAUUGUUGUUGUGUCCUUGUGUCGUUUCUGUUUCAGGAUAAUGUAAGCAUUGUAAAAAUGAGUUUGGAGGAAUUUCUCUUCAAUGUAUUAGAAGGGUUUGAGAAGAAUUAGUUUGGGAAUUUUCUGUCACUAUUUCUAUAAAUAAGCUUUCUACACACUUCUCUUUUUUCAUUUUCUUCAAAAACUGCUGUAGCUCAAACAUUUGCUCUUUUGAUGCAGUCCCAUAAAACCUGUAAGUAAUUUUAAAUUAAUUUUCAUUCCUUUAUACCCCCCGGCUGCAUAUUUUCAAAUAACCAAUACUUAAAUUCACAGAUUCUUCUGUUCGGUCAAGCUGUUGUUGAUGCUAUCUAUUGCAAUUUUCA